rnacentral:SRP_RNA from 1 species
GCUGGGCGCGGUGGUGCGUGCCUGUAGUCCCAGCUACUCGGGAGGCUGAGGUGGGAGGAUCGCUUGAGCCCAGGAGUUCUGGGCUGCAGUGCGCUAUGCUGAUCGGGUGUCCGCACUAAGUUCGGCAUCAACAUGGUGACCUCCUGGGAGCAGGGGACCACCAGGUUGCCUAAGAAGGGGUGAACUGGCCCAGGUAGGAAACGGAGCAGGCCAAAACUCCCGUGCUGAUCAGUAGUGGGAUGGCGCCUGUGAAUAGCCACUGCACUCCAGCCUGGGCAACAUAGUGAGACCCCGUCUCU